rnacentral:lncRNA from 13 species
AUGUUUUUGGUGUGCCCUAAGAGGAGAGGUUUCGUUAAAAACACUUCCUUUCACAGUGUACUGCUUUUUGGCCCCCCUGGUCUUCAGAUGAACUCUCUGCGUUGUUUUAGGGAGUUCGGUCUUCAGAUGAACUCUCUGCGUUGUUUUAGGGAGUUCGGUCUUCAGAUGAACUCUCUGCGUUAUU